rnacentral:rRNA from 1 species
CCCUUAGUAACGGCGAGCGAAAAGGGAAGAGUCCAGCGCCAAGUCUUGACGCCCAAGCGUUCAAGAGAUGCGGCGUUAAUGUAUUAUCGCAUCGUACAUUGUUGNCUGUUUCAAGUUCCYUUGACAGGGACAUCCAUAGCGGGUGCUAGGCCCAUAGAGGCAGGCGACCAGUGUGCGCAGAUAAUGCAUUCUAGAGUCAGGUUGCUUGAGAGUGCAGCUUAAAGUGGGUGGUAAACUCCAUCUAAGGCUAAAUAUGACAGCGAGACCGAUAGCAAACAAGUACCGUGAGGGAAAGUUGCAAAGCACUUUGAAGAGAGAGUUCAAUAGUACGUGAAACCACUGGGAGGCAAACAGAUGGAACCACGAAGUUGCGCCUCGCUCGAUUCAAUCAUUGAUACUGGUUACCGGUUCUUGUGUGGAUCUUUUCGGAGAUUAGCAAGUGUCGUGGAACUGGUAUCAAUGGUGCAUUUCGUGUGAGGAUGCUAAGCCACGUUCGAUUAGAGUUGGGACGGCCGUAGGACAGAAUUUAAGGAAGGUGACCGGAAAGUGCUUGCAUUUUUCGGUGUUAUAGCCUUGAAUUGGUACCGUCGCCUAACAAACUGAUCGAUAUAAAUU